rnacentral:rRNA from 1 species
AAAGAUUUAUCGCCUUGGGAGCGGCCCGCGUCGGAUUAGCUAGUUGGUGGGGUAACGGCCUACCAAGGCUUCGAUCCGUAGCUGGUCUGAGAGGACGAUCAGCCACACUGGGACUGAGACACGGCCCAGACUCCUACGGGAGGCAGCAGGUGGGGAAUCUUGCGCAAUGGGGCAACCCUGACGCAGCCAUGCCGCGUGAACGAUGAAGGCCUUAGGGUUGUAAAGUUCUUUUACCCGUGACGAUGAUGACGGUAACGGGGGAAUAAGCUCCGGCUAACUUCGUG